UUAAAUUCCGUUGCGCAUGUUUAAGUAAAUUCCCAACAACUAUUAUUUUACCAGAGUUUCUAAGCUCAAGAGAAUGCAUCUUCCAAAAAUUAGUCAAAGUCCACGUGUUUCUCCAGAAGGGUUUAUCAGAAGAUGCGCACAGCGCCCUUGUAGUUGUAGCUGUUUUUAUUGUGACAGUUACUUAUCAAGGCAUUCUCAGUCCCCCAGGAGGGCUUUCUUAUAUUGGUGAUGAUAACAAAAACGGAUGAAUACUAAUGCCUGAGAAGAAUUUAUUUUGGUACGUUCUUCUUAAUUCGACAGCCUUUGCUGUCUCUAUUGGAAUGAUUGUUCUGCCUCUCCAGUGGAACUUCAUUACCCCGCUUCUUUAUCUACAGCUAAACCUGAUGAUGGUGAGCUACUUUAUAUCAAUGAUUAGCAUGGCAACUACUGGGGCAGGAGUGGCUUUAUCUCAUGUUGGUUCACUUUUUUUUGCAAUAUAUAAUUAUGAUGUCUAAAUUUUGCAUUGAAGUACAGGGAUCUUUGCCUUGGGCUCUGCAGUGUCUGUUAGUUUGCCUUGGAAGUGAAUACAACAGAGACAAGAUGCAAUAUGAAGUGGUUGCCAGUAAAUGUUCAACAAAAUUUUGCGAGAAAAAUGAAGAUCAAAUUCAAACAUGAUAUUGUCAUAUGAUGUCUAAGAAAGCAACCAAUAAUUUAUGACUCUGUAUUGUUUUGUUUAAUAUUGUCGUCUUAAGAUACUAUAAAUGUCAAUAUUCCAUUCGUCCCAAUUAUAUAGGUCAAGUUUCAUUUUUCAUUUGUUCCAA
rnacentral:lncRNA from 1 species